UUUUUUUUUUUUUUUUGGAGAGGAAGUCUCGCUCUGUCGCCCAGGCUGGAGUGCAGUGGCUUGAUCUCGGCUCACUGCAAGCUCCGCCUCCUGGGUUCACGCCAUUCUCCUGCCUCAGCCUCCGAAGUACCUGGGACUACAGGCGCCCGCCACCACGCCCAGCUAAUUUUUAAAAUAUUUUUAGUAGAGACGAGGUUUCACCAUGUUAGCAGGGAUGGUCUCCAUCUCCUGGCCUCGUGAUCCGCCCGUCUCGACCUCCCAAAGUGCUGGGAUUACAGGCAUGAGCCACUGCGCCCGGCCUUUGAUGGGUUUUUUUUUUUAAUUAUUCUUAUUUUUACAGUGAUGAGGUUCCGCCAUAUUGCUCAUGCUGGACUAGAACUGCUGAGCUCAAACAAUCCACUCACCUUGACUUCCCAAAGUUCUGGAACUGAAGUGCCUGGCUGGCCCCGGCCUUAUUAACAAAAUGAAAUAACUCACAUAAGUUCUGCGGUGACAUGUAAAAACACAAUUCCUGUUAGAGCUUUUCCAACUUUGAUUUUUUUUUUUCCGUGAUGAAUAUUGCGUGUUCUUAUAUGUCCAUAUUCCCUUUAAAGGCACACGUGGGCAAGAAGUUCAAGACACUCCAAGAAACCCAAUCAUGUAGAGACAUGGAGAGCAGAAAAGGAAGCAGGCCCAGAAGAAGUGGUUGAGAUGCCGUUGGGCCGGAAUGUGGCAGAAGAGAGACAGAGAGAUAGACAGAGACAGACAGACAGAGAGAGAACAAUGUUGUAGAAAAAUCCAAAGGAAAGUCCGUGGGGAACAAGAAUACUGGAAAGGGCCAGGAAGCUAGCAGCUUGCUUGGUGUGUUGCUACUGUUAAAUCUGUCUUCAGAAGAGCAUUCAAUGUCACUGUGUUCCUGAAGCAGACAGCAGGCCUCUGCCCACGAAUUCAUUGCCCGAAGAGGUCAACAAAGGGUUUCUCUCACAGAAUAUGUUUGGGAAGGAAGAUCCGUACACUUGGGGCCGGGACAAUCUACCCGCUUCCCCAUCGCCCACACAACUCCUCAAGGACAUGGAUGCCUCUCUAGGUUUCUAGUCCAGUCUUCCAGGAAGAGCUGAGGAGAGUGGAAUAGGCCAGAUGUGAGGAUGACAGGUGGGUUCGGGGUAGUAAGCUCCCCUCGUGUGUGACCAAAGGUGGUGUGGGAUCUUUACACAGUCCAUGGCAGCUACCUCCAUGGCAGAAGGGCCUGGGACAUGUCCGGCUAUAACGGAAUUCUAGGUUCACCUCAAGUCUGAGGCCAAAACCCCAGGGGUCAGUGGGACGCCGGUCGCCUUUGACCUCUUGGUCAAGCUGGCUUUGCAGUGACCCGUGAGUACGCCCAAGUGCAAUUGUGUCCCGGAGGGCAGAGCUAGGGCUGGCAUCCUACUAUGUGCCCAGUCUCCUUCUCUUCCCUGCGGGUUCCACCAUCCUCCCCAUCCCAAAGGCAUGGUUAGGGAUGCGGUUAGUUGGGCUGCAUCCCCAGGGCGGCCCAAGGGGACCGCUUUCUGGUUUGUCAGGAAGGCAGGCUAGUAGAAGGACCCUGCCGAGUCCCGUCUGCCAAGGACAGGGUCCGGCAGGUGGGCCAGAGCUGGCCCAAAGCGGCCGAGAUGCUGAAGGGCCAUGUGCGGAGCGCUCUUGGCGUUUUUUCCUCCGCAGAGGGCGGAGGGAGUGGACAUGGGGGAAGGGCAGGUGGGCAUUUCUGGAGCAAUACU
ensembl:lncRNA